GGGGACUCGUACAAGACUGCCGGGGUCAACUCGGAGGAAGGUGGGGAUGACGUCAAGUCAUCAUGCCCCUUAUGCCUAGGGCUGCACGCAUGCUACAAUGGCUGGUACAAAGGGCUGCAAUACCGUGAGGUGGAGCGAAUCCCAAAAAGCCAGUCUCAGUUCGGAUUGGGGUCUGCAACUCGACCCCAUGAAGUCGGAGUCGCUAGUAAUCGCAGAUCAGCAACGCUGCGGUGAAUACGUUCCCGGGCCUUGUACACACCGCCCGU
rnacentral:rRNA from 1 species